rnacentral:rRNA from 1 species
CGCUGGCGGCAGGCCUAACACAUGCAAGUCGAGCGGUAGCACAGGAGAGCUUGCUCUCCGGGUGACGAGCGGCGGACGGGUGAGUAAUGUCUGGGAAACUGCCUGAUGGAGGGGGAUAACUACUGGAAACGGUAGCUAAUACCGCAUAACGUCUACGGACCAAAGUGGGGGACCUUCGGGCCUCACGCCAUCAGAUGUGCCCAGAUGGGAUUAGCUAGUAGGUGGGGUAAUGGCUCACCUAGGCGACGAUCCCUAGCUGGUCUGAGAGGAUGACCAGCCACACUGGAACUGAGACACGGUCCAGACUCCUACGGGAGGCAGCAGUGGGGAAUAUUGCACAAUGGGCGCAAGCCUGAUGCAGCCAUGCCGCGUGUGUGAAGAAGGCCUUAGGGUUGUAAAGCACUUUCAGCGAGGAGGAAGGGUAGUGUGUUAAUAGCACAUUGCAUUGACGUUACUCGCAGAAGAAGCACCGGCU